ACCCUCUCAAACCCUAAAUCAGAGAAUUGGAAUAGAAAUCAAGGCUAAAUCUUAUGCAUGGACCUGAAUAUAUGAUCUUCUAGCCUUGCUAAACAUGUGUAUAGGAAAUCAUGUCAAGAUGGGUGGAAGCAUGAGAGGCUAACGGGUCAAGAGGACAUGAGGAAGCAAUGCAAAUACGGAUGCAUAAGGUAUCGCUCGGGUUUCCGCUACCAUUAUCAAAGUGACGCGGGCUUAGUUCGAGUUGAGAUCAAGGAUUGUACGGAGUAGAAAGGUCACAUAGUCUGACUCAUAUAGGUCUUGAAGCAUUAAUGUUAUAAAAAGUUGUAAAUCCGUUUUAAUGAUUA